CAUCCAGGUUACUCCACUGACACUGUUUGCUUUUCCAAUAGUAAAUUUUCCAACAGGCUGACAGCUCCGUUGUUGAAGUGCCAUAAUAAUUAAAGAGGAGAUUAAACAAUUCGGGAGAAUGGUGACUAAUUGAAGGAGGAGAAUUUCCCUCUGAGUGCAGCAUGAGGGACACCACUGAUGACAUUCUGCCCCACAAAUGUGUUCCAGAGGGUUAGUAAAUAAAUGAUUCCACACUGCAGAGAUGCAGAAGCUGACAAGAGCAUCAGAAUCCAUUGGAAGAGGGAGGCAGGAGGUCCAGACAGACACGAACGGGAACAGCAAGAAGCAAUUUCCUUCUCAAUCACGGAGCCUGUGCCCAGCAGUGUGUCCUCAGCAGAGUCCACCCAGUCUUGUAAGGACAUCUUUCCUGCAGGGAGUUUUGCAGAGAUUUUCUACCUGUAAAUAGGAAGAAAG